rnacentral:rRNA from 1 species
AGCAGCCGCGGUAAUUCCAGCUCCAAUAGCGUAUAUUAAAGUUGUUGCAGUUAAAAAGCUCGUAGUUGAAUUUCGGGAUUGGCGCAUCGGUCGUGCCUCACGGGGUAUGAACUGGUGCAGUCAAUUUCUCACCUUCUGGAGAACCGCGAUGUCCCUAAUUGGAUGCCGCGGGGAACCAGGACCUUUACUUUGAAAAAUUGAGUGUUUAAAGCAGGCAUUUUUGCUUGAAUACAUUAGCAUGGAAUAAUAAAAUAGGACGGCAUGGUUCUAUUUUGUUGGUUUCUAGGACCACCGUAAUGAUUAAUAGGGAUAGUUGGGGGCAUUAGUAUUCAAUUGUCAGAGGUGAAAUUCUU